rnacentral:rRNA from 1 species
GACGAACGCUGGCGGCGUGCUUAACACAUGCAAGUCGAACGGAAAGGCCCUGCUUUUGUGGGGUGCUCGAUUGGCGAACGGGUGAGUAACACGUGAGUAACCUGCCCUUGACUUUGGGAUAACUUCAGGAAACUGGGGCUAAUACCGGAUAGGAUCUCCUGCUGCAUGUGGUGGGUUGGAAAGUUUCGGCGGUUGGGGAUGGACUCGCUGCUUAUGAGCUUGUUUGUGGGGUAGUGGCUUACCAAGGGUUUGACGGGUAGCCGGCAUGGGAGGGUGACCGGCGACAUGGGGCCUGAGAUACGGAGCAGAAUCGUACGGGACGCAGCAGGCGGGAAUAUGGCACAAUGGGCGGAAGCCUGAUGCAGAAACGCCGCGUGCGGGAUGACGGCCUUCGGGCUGUAAACAGAUUUCGAAUGUGACGAAGAGUGAGUGACGGUAAUGGGUAAAGAAGCACCGGCUAACUACGUG